rnacentral:rRNA from 1 species
UGCAAGUCGAGCGGACAGAUGGGAGCUUGCUCCCUGAUGUUAGCGGCGGACGGGUGAGUAACACGUGGGUAACCUGCCUGUAAGACUGGGAUAACUCCGGGAAACCGGGGCUAAUACCGGAUGGUUGUUUGAACCGCAUGGUUCAGACAUAAAAGGUGGCUUCGGCUACCACUUACAGAUGGACCCGCGGCGCAUUAGCUAGUUGGUGAGGUAACGGCUCACCAAGGCGACGAUGCGUAGCCGACCUGAGAGGGUGAUCGGCCACACUGGGACUGAGACACGGCCCAGACUCCUACGGGAGGCAGCAGUAGGGAAUCUUCCGCAAUGGACGAAAGUCUGACGGAGCAACGCCGCGUGAGUGAUGAAGGUUUUCGGAUCGUAAAGCUCUGUUGU